rnacentral:lncRNA from 1 species
ACUAGGCUAGGAAGAAAGAUCAAUCCAUUCCAUAUGAACUUUUGCCAUCCGAUCCGAUGACCCCCUUGAUGCCCUUUAUGUUCUCUCUCUUGCCAUAGAGUCAGUGUGCCGUUACGGGCCCCUAUCUAGGUGCUUUGUCUCCGACUCACCGGAAAAAGAAGAAAGAAGUUUAGCGACUCCGCCCUAGACUCCUAUUGGCUAGUGAGCUAGUUCCCCUUAUCUAUAAAGUCAAUAUCCCGGCCUAUAAGAAAGAGGGGAUUGUUGCAACUACGGAAACAACCGUACCAGAUUAUGAA